rnacentral:rRNA from 1 species
UACGUAGGGACCAAGCGUUGUCCGGAAUCAUUGGGCGUAAAGCGCGCGUAGGUGGCCAUUUAAGUCCGCUGUGAAAGUCAGAGGCUCAACCUUUGAAAGCCGGUGGAUACUGGAUGGCUAGAGUACGGAAGAGGCGAGUGGAAUUCCUGGUGUAGCGGUGGAAUGCGCAGGUAUCAGGAGGAACACCAAUAGCGAAGGCAGCUCGCUGGGACGUUACUGACACUGAGGAACGAAAGCGUGGGGAGCGAACAGG